rnacentral:rRNA from 1 species
GCCAGACUCCUACGGGAGGCAGCAGUGAGGAAUAUUGGUCAAUGGGCGGGAGCCUGAACCAGCCAAGUCGCGUGAGGGGUGACGGCCCUAUGGGUUGUAAACCUCUUUUGCCGGGGAGCAAGCGUGCGUUCGUGAACGCGCGUCGAGAGUACCCGGAGAAAAAGCAUCGGCUAAUUCCGUGCCAGCAGCCGCGGUAAUACGGAGGAUGCGAGCGUUAUCCGGAUUUAUUGGGUUUAAAGGGUGCGUAGGCGGGAUGCCAAGUCAGCGGUAAAAAUGCGGUGCUCAACGCCGUCGAGCCGUUGAAACUGGCGUUCUUGAGUGGGCGAGAAGUAUGCGGAAUGCGUGGUGUAGCGGUGAAAUGCAUAGAUAUCACGCAGAACUCCGAUUGCGAAGGCAGCAUACCGGCGCUCAACUGACGCUCAUGCACGAAAGUGUGGGUAUCGAACAGGAUUAGAUACCCGAGUA